UUCGGCCGAAGUGUCGAGUGGAGAGCGGCGGACGGGUGAGUAACGCGUGAGUAACCUGCCUACCAGAGGGGGAUAACACAUAGAAAUGUGUGCUAAUACCGCAUGAAACCAUAGUAUCGCAUGGUAUAAUGGUCAAAGAUUUAUCGCUGGUAGAUGGACUCGCGUCUGAUUAGCUAGUUGGAGGGGUAACGGCCCACCAAGGCGACGAUCAGUAGCCGAACUGAGAGGUUGAUCGGCCACAUUGGGACUGAGAUACGGCCCAGACUCC
rnacentral:rRNA from 1 species